GCCGGGCAUAGUGGUACAUGCCUGUAAUCCUAGCAACUUGGGAGGCUGAGGCAGGAGGGUCUCGAGUUCAAAGCCAGCCUUAGCAACAGCAAGGUGUUUAGCAAUUCAGUGAGACCCUGUCUCUA
rnacentral:sRNA from 1 species